rnacentral:rRNA from 3 species
CAACUUUCAACAACGGAUCUCUUGGCUCUCGCAUCGAUGAAGAACGCAGCGAAAUGCGAUAAGUAAUGUGAAUUGCAGAAUUCAGUGAAUCAUCGAAUCUUUGAACGCACCUUGCGCUCCUUGGUAUUCCGAGGAGCAUGCCUGUUUGAGU